AAUGACUCACUUUAACCCAACUGUCUAUUGGUAGAUGCACUUUACCGUCUUAGAUGCACCUAUAGUCCUAAUAUUACUUAACAUUGCUAGAUUGUUUACAUAUGCUUAUUAGAUGCACUAGAAUUCAUAAUCCAGUUAUCAUCAGUGGUCUUAGAUGAAUUAGGAGACAUGAUACAUGUUGCUCUCACUUCAUUAUCAGAAGCAUGAUCCCUUCCUAACAGCUGAAGUAUUUAUAACUACUUCUCAUAAGUGAACUAUGGCGGCAUCAGCUGAGUUCCUCCUCCUAGAGUGAUCUGUUGUCCUCCACCUAAAUAGCCUCCUCCAGAGUGAUUCAUACUAGAUCUGCCCAUAGGGAAAAAACCUACGUAAAUAGCAGUAUUAAUGUAAGUGUGUUCUUCUUUUUUCCUUUAAAGUUAGGGGGAUAACCAUAAAGCUUAUAGUAAUUCUCUUUGGUAUGGCCUUUCCAAUUACAAAAAUCACAUGAGAGAUUUCUUUUCUUCAGCUCUUAGUUGAAAAUGGAUGAGCUAGAGGGAGGAUGCAUGAUAGACUUGCCAUGAGGCUUUCCAUUACUAGAGUUGGAUGUACUACCUUGUCCCCUAGAGAAAUUAUAGGUUGGAGCUCCAUUAUAGUAAGUAGUGCUCUGACCCCUACUAGAACUAUUAGGACUGCUCUGACCACCUCUAUAACUGCUAUCAAUUGGGUCUCCAUCACUUGAGAACAUAUGCCUUUUCCACUAAAAAAAGGCAUUCCAUCAUGCACAUCGCUCAUGCCAACAGAGUUGGACUUAGCCAGAAUUCAUUGGCAUUCUUUAUAGAUUACCAGCGAGUAAGCUUUAUUGACAGGAGGAUAACAAAACAUCAUCAUGAUCUGACUGCGACACCAAUAAUAUGAGUCAUUAAGGCCCAUCAAAAACUACAUCAGAUGUUAAUAUUUGAAAUGUGCAACAUAGAUUUGUGAUUCUUCAUAAGGAAAGCUAGGGCAUGGCAUAACAGAAUCAAAAUUUUCCUAUUAACUCCUUCAUUCAAGAGAAACAACAAGACAUGUAAGAUGUUCCUUGCGUAAGUGUAACAAUUUUUUUAUGUAGAUAAAAAAAAAAAUUCGCUGUCAACCUUAUCAAAACACUCCUUCAAUUAACACCAAACCUUUGGGCACCGGAAGCAUAAACGAUACCGCUAAGCUCCUUGCUCACAAAUAUUAUUAUCCACGAAAGUAUGAUCAUAUUGUAUUUUUCCCAUAGAUCAUGCAACUCAGGUUUAAACUUAUCCUUCAUACAUUGUCCAUCGACAAAUCCAAGUUUAACUUAUCCUUCGUACAUCGUCCAUCGACAAAUCCAAGUUUACUCCUACCUAGAGUCUAAUACUCAUGGAUCUGUUUCAUAAAACAUAAUCCCUCCGUUUCAAAAAGAAUGACAUACUUUUCUUUUUAGUCUGUUUCAAAAAGAAUGAUCUCUUUUCUUUUUUGGCAACACUUUAAUUUCAACUUUUCACAUGGCAUGUUUAGAAUCACAAGAUUAAGGGCAUUUUGAUACAUUUGACACAACUUUAAUUCAACGCCAGAAGAUUUAAAAGUUUCCUUUAUUUUCCUAAACUUUGUGUCAAGUCAAAGUAGGUCAUUCUUUUUUAAACGAAGGGAGUAGUUCUUAGCUCCAGUUAAUUGCAUGGGUAAAUUAAGCUACCUAGAGUGUCGCAAGCUAGUAAAAAUAGCAGAUGAUGUUGAUCAAUCACCGUCAUAGCACCACUAGUAGAAGUUGUUCCUUCACUCGUAAAUCUAUUCACAGUUGCCAUUGAUGAAGAGAUAAGAAUCAAAUGAGAAUUUGCAAAAUUAAUGAUGCACCUUAAAAAACAAACCGAAAUUAACAAUGCACCUUCAACAAAAAACAUUGCGAUUUUAUGCAACGAGAACAAAGACCUCAACCUUUAUUACUUUGAUCGUUGCACGCAUGUCUAGAACAAAAAUGGAAGCUCAGAUCGAGAUCUAUGAUACCAUGAUGAACUUCAUCAAUGGAGGUUACAGAUUUGAGAAGAAAAGAGAAACUGUAAU
rnacentral:lncRNA from 1 species